UGGGGAAUUUUGGACAAUGGGCGCAAGCCUGAUCCAGCCAUGCCGCGUGCGGGAAGAAGGCCUUCGGGUUGUAAACCGCUUUUGUCAGGGAAGAAAUCUUCUGAGUUAAUACCUCGGGAGGAUGACGGUACCUGAAGAAUAAGCACCGGCUAACUACGUGCCAGCAGCCGCGGUAAUACGUAGGGUGCAAGCGUUAAUCGGAAUUACUGGGCGUAAAGCGUGCGCAGGCGGUUUUGUAAGACAGAGGUGAAAUCCCCGGGCUCAACCUGGGAACUGCCUUUGUGACUGCAAGGCUUGAGUGCGGCAGAGGGGGGUGGAAUUCCGCGUGUAGCAGUGAAAUGCGUAGAUAUGCGGAGGAACACCGAUGGCGAAGGCAAUCCCCUGGGCCUGCACUGACGCUCAUGCACGAAAGCGUGGGGAGCAAACAGGAUUAGAUACCCUGGUAGUCCACGCCCUAAAACGAUGUCAACUGGUUGUUGGGAAGGUUCCUUCUCAGUAACGUAGCUAACGCGUGAAGUUGACCGCCUGGGGAGUACGGCCGCAAGGUUG
rnacentral:rRNA from 1 species